GCAGAGACACCCACCACCGCUCAGCAGAGUCUCAGUGAAGUCAGGUCGCGCGGAGCAGAUGAGGUGAUCUCUUUCUCCUGCGUGGACUCCUGUCGCGACACCAUCUGCCAUUAGGCCCUCACCAGAGAUCACACCAAUGGGAUCACCUGAUCUUGGCCUUUUCACCUCUAAAACAAGCUAAAUAAACCUCUUUUCUUUAUAAAGUUA